UUGUUUUCGUUUUCGUUUUCUUUUGAACCAUUGCAGUAUUAAACCCCCAAAUCAUCAUAAUCAUUAAUCAAUCCCUUCAUCAAAAAAAUGCGACCCCGACCUUCUCUUCACUCCAAUUUCUUCUCCUCUCUCAAACAGGUUGAGAAGAGACUGAAACUGGAAGACCCAUCACAACGCCACACCCUCUCGCCACACCCAUCACCAGAGACUAAAGACUUGUAGUCAACAGAAUCUCUAGGCUCACCCAUAUGCCUCCACUUUGACCAAUCCGUUUCCCACGCCUCAACCCUCCAAGAAAACAGUGAACCCCCUCAAGCAUUCCUCUCAAGUUCCCCACAAACCCAACCUCAAUCCGACGGCCUAGGGCACCCCAAAACCGUAGUUGAAACUGAAAACGAAGCAGUUGACGAUAUAAUACAGCUCCUGGGUUUAUCAGAUUGGGAGGAGAAAGAAGAAGAGGCAGAAAGAGGGAGAGCUGGUUUGGGUGGUGGCAGUUCUUGUGAUUGGGAAGAUGGGUUUUAUGCAAAGAUUGUUGGGGUGAAGGGCCCAAAGUGUAGAAAGGAAGAGGAGAGGUUGGAGGCGUGGAUUGAGUAUUUUACGAAUGGUUGUGGCGUGGAGGAGAGGGAGGAGCCUUUGAGGUUGGCAUAUUUGCUUUUGGGUAAGGCUGCUUUUGUUUCCGAGGAUGCUGGUUGUGGCUUUGGAGGCAUGGAAUCUCCUUCAAGUACAAAGGAAUUUUUGCAGAAUGAUCCUCCUAAGGCCUAACGAGCAAGGGAAUAUUUCAUAUUUCCCUUUUGUACCCUUUAAUGCAAUUUUAGUGUCAGCAUUUGUAUAAAAAAAAUGUGAGCACUUUCAACAUGAAAAUGAUCAACUUGUUUUGGUGGAAUUCAUCAUUGAUGGUGAUUGUUGAAUCUUGGAUCAGGACGUACAUGUUAAGCAAUUAUUUUUCUUUUCCCUUGUUUGUUUUGUUCAUAAGAUGUUAUAUAUAAAUUCAUUUGGCCUUA